CAUAAAAUCGCGACCGAGCUGCAAAGUACAUAAACUCGAAAGCUCGAUAAAGUUAGCAGCUACCCACUGCAAAUCGGAACUUCGCCUCCUUCUCGUACGCCGAUUUUUAGUCCGUCCUUUAUUUCUUCUUUGCUAAGAAAAUUGGUUUGUGCUCGUUCGCGACGCGAAUCACGCCUAAAUCGUUGAGUAGUAAAGUCACUCGAUGGCCAGAUUUCUCACUGGAAUACACCGACACGCGUGUAUUUUGUUUUUUUUGGUCGAUCAACGUUCCUAAAAUCGCGGAGAAGAUGUGCUUUUAAAGCGAUUUUCUUGUACUUUAUGAAGAAAUUAAUAAAAUUAUUAAUAGAAUUUUAAAAAUCUUGAGUGAACUAGUUUGUACAGUUUGUACUAGUUUGUUUUCUUCCUCGAUUUUAUUGAAUCUAACAAUGAGAAGAAAUGAAAGUUUUUGUAUUUCUAUGGUGUGUUUGGAAGGAAGUUGAAGGCGUCGCCGAGCUGAUCCUUCGUGAAAUCGUGGCGAAUGAAACGAGGUCGGUCCAUUAAUUUCGACGAAACAAUGUAACAACAACAAUAGAGGGUACUACAGCCAGCCCUGAGAUUUUGGUUAAAGGAUGCUGGCUUCACAGAGAACUUUGAUGCAAAGGAAACAAUUAAUUAUCCAAUCUGUCGAUAAACAGCUUGGGACAAAAAGCGAAUCGAAGUGAAAUUAUUAACUUUAUAAACUCGUUGCUCCAGCUUUUCAUUCUUUGGAUUACAGAAUCUAUUACUGUUGCAUUAAACAGCUUUGGAAACUUGUAACUUUGUCGAUUUAAUAUUUCCUUCACUUGAUUAGUUACAAUUAACAAUAAAGGUACGUAAGAUCAGUAAUGGUAAUCAAGUUUUGGAAUGUUUGAAUAUUAUAUUAUUGGGGUAACUAAGAUUUUCUGAGGGGUGAGCUAGGUUCCAUGGUUUUGUUAACAAUACCAAGUGUUUAAUAUCUUUCAUUUUAUAAGAUUUUAUAAGAGAAACUUAGAAUCCAAAAAUCCUAAAACCUAGAAACUUAGAAACUCAGAAACCUAGCAACCUACAA